rnacentral:lncRNA from 1 species
CCUCUCUCUGCCACGGACAUCCCCGUGGCAGCAGGAGCUGCUCAUGCUGCUGGUUUUCUGCUCCCAUCGUGGUGCGAGCGCAAUCCCAUCCACAGUGCUGAAGGGUUAAAUGGUUGUGGGGCCGGAAUUGCCUGCACAGAUUAGUGGUAGGGCAAAAUCAAGGUCACGCGAAAGGCCAGCACAGUGCCACAGAUGGAUAGUGUGAGCUGAUAAAAGGUGCGGCCAGAAGGGCUCCAAAGCCCAUAAGGAUUCUUCAGGGAGCGACUGAAUUAAAACAGAGAGGCAGAAAUACCACCUGCACCCCAAUAGCAAUGAGUAUCCCCCAGGGACCCCGGGACUCAGCAGGAGGGUACUGCGUGUCCGUCCCCAUGUUUGUUUGCUGACCUUGGCUAAGUGUUUAUGAAAUACAUAUCGGUUAUCGACCGCUCUCCCCAGUCCUCACCAGGGCAGACCCAGCAGUUAGCAGCACGGGUCUGGUGGUGGAGGUAGCACCGAAAGCACGCACGGAUGCUCGAAAAAGGGGUGAUGAGUGGUGCUCCUUGCCUCCUGCUCCUGAUGGCACCGAUACUGUUCUGUGUAGGAUGCCACCAAAGCCACCUCGCUCUGGAACAAAGGGCAGUCCCAGGGGAGCAAAGAGCAUGUUCUCCAAUUUUUGCAUCCCCUUUCAAAUUAAAAAAAAUAAUAAUAAUAAAAUAAUAAUUAAAAAAAAAAAAUCUGAGGAGCUGGUUUGAUGGCUUCUGCAGAUCCAGGAGGCUGCAGACCACGUACGUGUGCUCUGAAGGCCACCACCUGCUUCAGAAAACCUUGUCCUCCUGGGGACCAAUGUUGCCAUGCAUCUACGAGCUGACUUUGUGACGCUGUCCCACCUGCAGGCGGGGAAGACAAAAGCUCCUGGUCCCUGCAAGACCUUCUGAUAGCUGCUGCAAUUCUCCCUGAGCCUUCUCAGCGCCUCCCGGAGCCCGGCGCGCUCACACCUCGCGCUCUGGAUUUGAGAAGCAAAGAGGAAGCGUCAGCAAAUCUGUUACUCAGGUGAUGCCUCGCUUACAACAGCCACGGGAACAUUUCUGCCACGAAAGCCAAAUAUAAAUAUAAGGUGCUAAAGAUAAUGACAGUGUGCUUUACCAGCCUCUCAUCGCCGUACGGUUAUUGGGGUACUGCUGAAGCUCUGGUGGACUUCGUGCAUCCCGCAUCCAUUCCUAGUGGUGAAGGUGACUCCAGCCAGGGGCAGCUUAUCGCCCACAGUUUACCAAGUUAAUUGAAAUGAGCUUAAAACCAGCUCAAAUGAUCCAAUUCCUACACAUGCGAUUUCGUUUCCAUCUCCUUUCUGACUCUUACUGUGGGCUGGGACUUACAACGUUUCCCCCUGCUGCUUUCUCAGCUUUUUUCAAACUCUGUUUUUCUUUGUGUUAGGGGUUUGAGCAGAAACUCCACAUUUAAUGGGUUAUCAGGGAAAUCACCUCUCACUUACCCCGUAAUGACACAACUUACCUGCACGUGGGUGGCCAGGGGGGUGCUGGGGGUGUGGGGACCUGCUCGUGGAGGGCAGCAAGGGGGGCUUCUGCCUGGCCCUGCCUCCAUCCCACCAGCACGGCUGCUGCCUCCCUCCUCGACACAAACAGGAGAGACAAUCUGCAUACAGCCCUUGGACAAUUAGCAAGAGAAAUAAUUACAGUUUUUUAAAGGCGCCCUUAAUGAAUCCGGUCCUCUGUUUAUAAUGAAUGUAUUGAUCAAGGGAACAUCCUCCAUCAAUGCCUCUCUCCAAGCUAGAUAACUCUCCUCGUGGUGACAAAUAAAUGCACUUGCUUUGGUGUACUUGGUUCUCAUAAGGACAAUUACGCAAGGACAGCAUCGAUGCUGCCAGAAAAUGAAAUCAAGAGAGAGAAGUCAGUGGUUGCCAGAGCCUGUACCUUCUGAAAUCUGAUUCUCCCCCAAAGACACGGCUCCAGCCCGGCGAUAUUUGCAGAGGUGACACGGCUCACAGCCUGUCCCCGUGUCGGAAAAUUCAUCGAGGGCAGGAGAAGCCAAAUAAAUAAAUAAAUAAAUAAAUAAAUAAAAAGGGAGGAGAAAGGAAGAAAUCAAGCGCUCGGAUAUUUAAGGCCAGGCCUUUUUUAAAAUAAAUGCACAAUGAAAGGUUACGCUGUCAUUAAAGGAGUAGCCAACACUUCCCAGAGCAGUUAGCACAGCGCUGCAGCCGGCACUUUGCAUUUGCAGCUAAUCUGCCAGUGAUUAAACGAGCUGUUAUUGAGCAUUUGCCCUGUUGAACCAGGUUUUUCUCAUCCUUAUUAAUCAUUCAUUUUACACUACAGUAGCCUCCUGUCUUUAAGCAAAACAUCUUUUUUUUCUUUUCAUUUUUUUUUCUUCAAUAGGCAAAUUUUUUAGUCUUUUCUUUUUCCUCCGGUGAUGUCCUUUACGUUCACAAGAGCAGACCGCCGAAGAAAAGCGAGAACAAAACCUGGGGAGAGCUCUAAAGAGCGUGGGGAAGCAAAUUCUUUUUGCAGUCAAACUUCGGGAGUUAAAAGUAGAGGACAUGGCUGGAGCCACUAAGCUGUGGUGUAAACACGGCCAUUUAAGAGGAUUUGCAUACCAUUUAUUAACCUUCCAGGAGAACUACACGGACCCCAGGCAGGGAAAACAACUGUGUACACAUGUUGGUUUCGUUCUUGUUAUCGAAAUAUAGCUUCUGCCAGCCACCCCCCAGCAUCUUCCACGGGCAGAUAACAGAGAGAGAGGGAAGCGGGUGGAUGCCCCCGGCCCCGUUGGGUUUUGUGAGACCUGGGAUUUUUUUGGCAUGGUUUCCAGAAGCCAGGGGCUGCCCCUGGCUGGUGCCUGAG